UACGUAGGGGGCAAGCGUUGUCCGGAUUUAUUGGGCGUAAAGAGCGUGUAGGCGGUCAGGUAGGUCCGUUGUGAAAACUCGAGGCUCAACCUCGAGACGCCGAUGGAAACCAUCUGACUAGAGUCCGGAAGAGGAGAGUGGAAUUCCUGGUGUAGCGGUGAAAUGCGCAGAUAUCAGGAAGAACACCCGUGGCUAAGGCGGCUCACUGGCCCGAUACUGACGCUGAGGCACGAAAGCGUGGGGAGCAAACAGG
rnacentral:rRNA from 1 species